rnacentral:tRNA from 1 species
GCCCCGGUAGCUCAGCAGGUAGAGCGAACGGCUGUUAACCGUUAGGUCGAAGGUUCGAGUCCUUUCUGGGGCG